rnacentral:rRNA from 1 species
GACGAACGCUGGCGGCGUGCUUAACACAUGCAAGUCGACAUGAGCGGCGAACGGGGGAGUAAUACGUGGGUAACCUGCCCUACUUUUAUGGAUAAGCCUUGGAAACGGGGACUAAUACCGACUAGAGGUGGAUGGGCUCGCGGCGUAUUAGCUUGUUGGUGGGGUACGGGCCUGACAAGGCGGUGACGGGUAGCCGGCAUGAGAGGGUGACCGGGAACAUAGGCACGGACAUACGGCCCAGACGAGUACGGGGGGCAGAAGUGGGGGAUAUUGCACAAUGGGCGAAAGCCUGAUGCAGCGAGGCCGCGUGGGGGAUGAAGGUUUUAGGGUUGUAAACCUGUUUCGGUAGCGAACGGGUAGGUGGAGAAGAAGCGCCGGCUAACUACGUGCCAGCAGCCGCGGUAAUUC